UGUUGAAGUAAAUAACCUGUUGCUGACGCCAUCCUGAUACAUUGGAUGAAUGAGAGACACAUUCUAGUGAAUUAGGCCUUACGAAGAUUUAUAAAUUUAUCAGAUUGGUUGGACAUCUGAUUGGUAUUGAAGAAUGUGCUGUAAGAAACAAGAGAAAUAACCAUGAGCCGGGAUCAUAGCACAUUUACUUACAACUUUUUUCUUCUUUCUGAUGAAAAUAAUGACCAAGAUACACAAUUUGCCCACAAGAUAAAGGAGUACCUUGAGAGCAAGCACAAUUUAAAGGGAUACUUGGAGCAUCAGGAUGGUCUUGCAGGGCGUAGUGUUUUCGGAAAUUUUGAAAAUGCAUUAUUGAAGUCACAUUAUGUAAUUUUGCUGAUUUCCUCAGAGUCAAUCAAUGAUGGAUGGUGGAAAAAUCAAAUGGAGUCCAGUUUGUUUCAUCACUUGACCAAGAUGUCCCAGGAGAAUAUUAUUCCAAUUUACUUACCCAACCUGAAUCUUGACCUGUUACCACCGUCUCUUAGUAUUUACACUGGAUUGCACUAUAAUGACGACGCGAGCAGUAAUUUUUGGAAAAAGUUGGCCAGAGUUUUUAAUUGCUGAUGGCAGACUUGAAUAAUUAUUUUGACAAAUUUACAUGCUGCAAAAUUGAAACUUAUAAAUUGUAGUCAAAAAAUGUUUGUCUAAAGUGAACAUGGUACUGAUUAGUUAGUUUUAAAUGACAGUGCCUUAAAAGUGCUAACUUAUUAACCAGUAAUAUCAGUCAUUUGUCAGUACAUGUAUUAUAUCUAAACUUGUAGAUUUUUAUGAACAAAUGUGUACAAAUUUUGCUUAAGGAUUGUUAUAAAUUCCUUGUUCCAUUUUAUGAAGAAAAAUCAGAUGUAAUAACUUGUAGGUAUUGAUUAAAUUUUUGGUUAAGUUUUCUUCGUAUACAGUAUGGUCAUAUUAAAAACUUCAAUACUAACAAUGCUAUUGAAUUAAAAUUUGGAGAUGUACGUUGAAUAGUUCAACCUGCCACACCCAUUUUUUGAACAAAAGGUAAAAGGUCAAGGUCUUAUGGACCCGUAAUAUUGACCAUUAAAUCAAAGUUCAGUAACCAAGGAAAUUCAUUUGAAGUUACUUCAAGCUGUAGAUGUUAUUAAGUUCUACUUAGCACACCCAUAUUUAGGUCAAGAGGACUGGAACCUGAGUAACAAAAUACAAAACUGGCCAUUCAAUUAAAGGGCAUUCACCAAGGAACUACAUUUGAGCCGCGUCACGACAAAACCAACAUAAUGGGUUUGCCACCAGCAUGGAUCCAGACCAGCCUGCGCAUCCGCGCAGUCUGAUCAGGAUCCAUGCUGUUCGCUAUCGGUUUCUCUACUUGUUAUAGAGUUUGUAAGCGAACAGCAUGGAUCCUGAUCAGACUGCACGGAUGCGCAGGCUGGUCUGGAUCCAUGCUGGUCGCAAACCCAUUAUGUUGGUUUUGUCAUGACAUGGCUCAUUUGUAUUAGAAAAUGUGCAGUUUACUCUCCAGGACUCUAUAUCUCUCAAUAUCUUUAAAUCUGUCCAGCAAAUUGAGUACAGUGCUCAUAGGACAGCUCAUGUUUAUUAUGCAGUGGUAUAAAAGUAAAAGCACUACAUAAUUGGAUUGUUAUUUUGUAUGUAAAUAAUUUUGAUAUUUUCUUGUUAUUUUGUAUGUAAAUAAUUUUGAUAUUUUCUAAGGGUUCAUUAAAACAACAGCUACUUCAAUGAACUUAAACUAAUCCUGGAAAGUUGUGUUUAAUACAAUAUUUCUACAAUGUUUCAGACAUUAGACUUGGGUUACCAUAAAUCAUUACGGUACAGGUCUCAGGGGGUCAAUAUUGCCAAACAAUAGCAAUUUAUGUAUUCAAGUUGGAAAAAAAGUGCUAAUUAAUGAAAUAUAUUUACUCAAUGUUUUUCAUGAGAUUUUUUUUCCUAUUUGUUCAUUUUCAUGAUUUUUCUGUUUCAUUCCUCCUUUUCUUUUUGCAAAGUUUUAAUAUUUGUCCUGUCUAGGCCAGAAUGUUCCUGUUUUGGUUGAAAUUCCAGUCAUUUUGCUCAAUGCAGUGUUUUACUGUGAUUUAUAGAAUUAUCCUAAUUGCUCAGUGUCAGUGAAUGGUUUAGAAAUUCGUUUUUUAUUUUAGUUUGAUAACUUUACUCGGCGUUUUUCUCAUUUGCUUCUCAACAUUUUAGAUUUUCUAGUAUUAUGUCAAUUUCAUGGCUUGAUUAUUUUAUUAUAACAUAAUUAUGUAGAUAAGAUUAAAAAUAAUCAAGUUCUCUUUUUAAAUUUCUCUUAAAGACCAGACCAAAUCUAUUGUGGUGUUCACUUUUAUAUACCCGGUAAUUCAUAAGGAUUUAAAUCAAAUAAUAUGUUACUUAUCAUCACCCACAUUAUAUGUUACAAGGUUCAUAAGUCUGGGAAUAAUCACCUUUAAAUAUGUUUUAUUUUUUGUUUACUCAAAUUUAUUGAGAAAUGUACUUUGAACCUCAAAUAUAUGUUCCUUAUCAUCGCCCACAUCAUGUAUAACAAGGUGCGUUACUCAAGCAAAUUUAUAAGAAGAGUUAUUUCCACUUUGAACUUAGAAUUUUCCUGGUAAAAUGUUAUGAUUUUUUUUUUACUUUUUUAUCUUCAUUGUUACUGAAUGGAUUUACUUCAGAUUUUAGAUUGUUGUCUUUUUCAUUUCAGCUAAGAAACUUAGAAAGCUAAGAAGCUUGGAAAUUUCUGUUGAUUUUUCAUUAAAAAGGUCACUUGCAUGUGUUAAGGAAUGUUUAUAUUACUAAUUUUAUGUACAUACCCUAAUGUUAUUUAGUGUCCAGCUUUAUCAUCCAAUAAAAACACUGUAUUUCUUAAAAAUUGUGUGUGAUAAUUUUCAUAGAAGAACAAAAGUCCAUACAAUAUAUCGAAUUCCGUUCAUAGUCGCCUUCUAUUUUUCAUAGUACUUCAUGGUACCGCAUAUAGUGACGUAAUUAAGUGCCAAAUAAAGCUCGACACUAAGUAUGUUAGUAUUCAUCAGUAGCUGUUCUACAGAAAUUAGAAACAUUCUCCUGUGGCUUUUGGUCCAGUCGAAGUUUCUAAUUUCUGUGGAACAGCACGGAUGAACACUAACAUAUAUGUGGUGCAGAAAUGUUGGACAUUGCUUUCUUCAUAUUGAAAUAGAAAUAUAUUUAUAUUGAAUGUAACAGAUUUUUUUCUCAUGGUUUUUGUCUUUCUUUACUGUGUUCAUUGCUUAAAGAUAUACUAUGCUCAUCUUUGGGUUAAACACUUUUAUUGCAGAAAUUUACUGAAAUCUAGUACAUUCCACCUGAAUAGGUCUAAAUUGAAUAGGAGAAUGUAUAAACUAUGUUUGAGAAGCUGAAUUUUUUUUCUUUUAUUUGUCAUAUUAGUUUGGUCUAUUCCUAUAAAAACUGCCAGUUUUUUAAUGACACUAUGUAAUCAUACUGUGAUUACCUGUACCGUAUAAAGUUUAAAAUGUAACACAUUUUCUCUGGGUGUGUUCAAAAGAUGUUAAUGUUACAUUUCAAGAAUAUAUCAGUUGUUUUUUUGUUUUGUUUUUUUUUCAAAUAUCAAAAUUGAGCAAAAUAUAAUUAUCUCAUAAUCUGUAAUAGGUUGAUUAUGCUGUCUCCAUUGACAGCUCUUGUUAUGAAAUCGUAAAUCACAACUACACAUGUAUAAUGCUUCUGUUGUGUAAGUUGUAUACAUAAAUGAUAUACAAGUUGUAUAUAUAAAUGAUAUACAAUGUACUUCUUAAUUAAUAAUACACCUCUAAAGAUCAAUAUGUGUGUGGUAAUUCAGAUGUGAAAGAACAACCUGGUCUACAAUGCUAAAUCCAGAAUUUCCCAAAUUUUCAUCUAUGAUCCUAUAUGAAAGAAUUGAAUUUUCUUUGUUUUCAAAUUCAUCCUUUUUUCUUUUUUAUAAUUUUUUGAAGCUGUAUUUUUCCAGUAGAACUGGCUGUCCAUAUUA